UGUGGACUGAAGUGAAGCUUUGAUCCAAGUAAAGAAUUCUUGUUGAUUGGAGUUGCUCUAUAACCUGGAUCAGCAUCUAAUCAAGCUUGGACUCUUGGAGCUGAAUGAAAUUUGAGCUGAGCACCAUUUGAGGGAUUUUCGAAUUCAGGGUUAAAGGAAAAAGGCCUGGACUCGAAGGUUGAUGGAUUGAUGUGUUGAUGCUGCCGAAAUGCAGGGAUGGACUAAUUGAGGCUGUGAGCAAGAUAAUUG